rnacentral:rRNA from 1 species
UACGUAGGCAGCAAGCGUUGUUCGGAGUUACUGGGCGUAAAGCGCGCGUAGGUGGCCCCGUAAGUCCGCUGUGAAAGUCAAAGGCUCAACCUUUGAAAGCCGGUGGAUACUGUGGGACUAGAGUACGGAAGAGGCGAGUGGAAUUCCUGGUGUAGCGGUGGAAUGCGCAGAUAUCAGGAGGAACACCAAUAGCGAAGGCAGCUCGCUGGGACGUUACUGACACUGAGGCGCGAAAGCGUGGGGAGCGAACAGG